rnacentral:rRNA from 1 species
UACAGAGGUCCCAAGCGUUAUCCGGAUUCACUGGGUUUAAAGGGUGCGUAGGCGGGCAGGUAAGUCAGUGGUGAAAUCUUCGAGCUUAACUCGGAAACUGCCUUUGAUACUAUCUGUCUUGAAUAUUGUGGAGGUAAGCGGAAUAUGUCAUGUAGCGGUGAAAUGCUUAGAUAUGACAUAGAACACCCAUUGCGAAGGCAGCUUACUACGCAUAUAUUGACGCUGAGGCACGAAAGCGUGGGGAUCAAACAGG